UACGAACCGUACAACCGUUAUUCGGAAUCACUGGGCUUAAAGGGUGCGUAGGCGGCCAUGUAAGUGGGGUGUGAAAUCCCUCGGCUCAACCGAGGAACUGCGCUCCAUACUGCAUGGCUUGAGGGAGACAGGGGUAAGCGGAACUGAUGGUGGAGCGGUGAAAUGCGUUGAUAUCAUCAGGAACACCGGUGGCGAAAGCGGCUUACUGGGUCUCUUCUGACGCUGAGGUACGAAAGCGUGGGGAGCAAAAGGG
rnacentral:rRNA from 1 species